rnacentral:misc_RNA from 1 species
GUUUAAAAAAAAAAGGGUCCUCACGCCUCUCGUUAUCUUUCCCUGUACAACGACAUAACGCAGGGCACAGAUAAAACCUAGUUUCAGAGCACAUCGAGCAGGAAGCUACAACUAUUUUCCAUCAUUAGCGCGCGACAUUGAUUUGCUGCUUUAAAAUCAUAAGAGCUUGCGAAACUUGGCAGUGAAGCAGGCUUGCUACAUAAACUGUGGGCAUGUCUACUGCACUGACACCUUCUAAGAGACCACAUGAUUGGAACGCUAGUGAGACAAAUGGGAAAGGAAAGUGGCAAAAGACAGCUGGCCUUAAUUCCCCCAAUCUAUCCUUGAAAUCCUUGAAUGGUGUAGUUUUCCGAAUACUCUGUCCUGCUUCCAAAACAGGUAGUAUUAUUGGGAGAGGUGGUACCAUCAUAUCACAAAUCCGUCAAGAAACUGGUGCAAAGGUCAGAGUUGAGGAAAUUGUCCCCGGAUGCGAUGAGAGGGUAGUUGUUAUUGUGGGUUCUGAUAAGGAUAUCGAAGUCAAUAAUGAGCAGAAUGGGGAGGAUGGUGAUAAAAAUGCUGAUGUGGUUGAAGAGGGUGAUGAUAAAAAAGACCAUGUUGAGGACAAUGAAAAUAAGGAACUUGUUCCUGCAGUUGACUCGUCAAAGUCUGUAAAGGAAAUAUCAUCCUUGCAGAAAGCCCUGGUACUUGUUUUUGAAAGAAUAGUUGAAGCAGAACCAGAAACGGUUGGAAGGGAUGAGGAAAAUAGCAAGCCCUCUAUGUUCAUUUUGAGGUUACUUGUACUUUCCAGUCAAGUUGGCUGCCUUUUGGGAAAGGGUGGUAGUGUAAUCAAGCAAAUGUCUGCAGAAAGUGGGGCACAGAUUCGGAUUCUUCCUAGGGAUAAACUUCCUGCAUGUGCAUCACCUUCUGAUGAGCUAGUUCAGAUCACAGGAGAGGUUGAUGCAGUUAGGAAAGCUCUUCAAUCAGUUGCUCAGCAGCUUCUGGAGAAUCCACCCAGGGAUAAUGACUCUUUCCCUGCCAAUUCUACAGGGCCUUCAUCUCAUUCAUUUGGUUAUCCUCUUCCUAGGCCAGAAGCAUAUCCGCCACCAUACCAUUCUUUUAAUGCUCGUGGAACAACUUAUGGUGCUGGACCUCGGGACUUUCAUGAAAGUGGUAUCCCUGGUCGAAUGAAGCCUACUUCAGAUAUAAUAAACUUUCGCUUGCUAUGUCUUGAUGAGAAGGUAGGAGGCGUCAUUGGAAAAGGAGGAACUAUAAUAAAAACCCUUCAGCAAGAAACAGGCUGUGAUAUCAAAGUUUUGGAAGGGGUUUCUGAUUCAGAGGAUCGCAUUAUUCUCAUUUCUGGUCCAGUGCACCCAGAUGAUAGAAUAUCAGCUCCACAAGAUGCAGUUCUUCGUGUACAAACCAGGAUUGCUAGGGCAUUACCUUUACCUGAUGGUAAAGAGAAGACUGUGAUUGCUAGGCUUCUUGUCUCCUCAAAUCAAAUUGGUUGUCUCCUUGGUAAGGGUGGUGCCAUCAUGGCAGAAAUGAGGAAGUCAACUGGAGCCUAUAUUCGUAUACUGGGGAAGGAUCAAGUUCCAAAAUGUGCUUCAGAAAAUGAAGAAGUGGUUCAGAUAAAUGGAGAGUAUGAAGUAGUUCAAGAAGCACUUCUGCAGAUAACCGCUAGGUUGCGCAAUCAUUUCUUUCGUGAUGUAUUUCCUUCUAUGGACCAUCCCUCCAAUCCUGCCUUUCUGGAUCAAGCACCUCCAUUUCCUCCAUACAUGGGAAGAAGGGAACUCUCGCCUCCAUUCCAUGCGUUUCACAAUUUUGAUGGCAUGGGUGGUCCACCCCCACAUGGUGGUUUCCAUCCCCUUGAUGAUCGUCCUCCUUUCAUGCAUAAUAUUCAUGGACCAGGCAUGCCCCCACAUAUAUCUGAAAGAAAACCUUGGGGUUCACAGGUAUGGUACCAUCUCCUUUGCUUUCCAGAUUCAAUAUGGCCUUUCCUCGUGUUUUAAGGUUGCUGCCUAUAGAACAAGGCAUGUGCUCGCUAUCAUAUGGAUUACCCCAUUCAUCUUUGGCAUUUAAAAUUAAAUUCUUAAAAUUCUUUAUAGAAGCAAAAUUUACUGUUGAAAAUAUUUUUAAAAAGUAAAUUGCACAACAAUUUUGUGCAAGCUCUGACUUCACUCUCUCUUUCCUGAGCUGGCUUGAAGGGACUCAUUGAAGGUGGUCCACCAGUGGGCAUGCCAGACUUUGGAGGACCUCCCCAAAGAAGAUUUUCUGGUUUUGGAGGGGUUAAUCAUCCAGCUGUUAUCACAAGCACUACUGUUGAAGUUUCUGUUCCUCAUUCUAUGGUCCCCGUAAUAUAUGGAGAAGAUGGUUCAUGUUUGAAACAAAUUCACCAGGUUUAUUCUUUGUUGUGUGCUCAAUUUACAGAUUAUAAAAACAAGUGUACAAUUAAAUUGUCACCUUGUACUGUUUAAUCAGUGUGUGCAUAUAUUGGGUGUACAUUGCACACAAUUACAUACACGAGUGAUAGAGAGACAGUGUGAGAGAGGCAUUUUCUAAUGAGUGAAUCAUGAGAUAGAUUUUGUAUGUUUUCCAAGUCUCAGUUGGAGCCAUAAAUUACCUGCCUAAUCAACUUGAAAGAAUUACAUGCUAGGGAUAGUAAUGUUUCUUCAAAAUAACUAAAGAUGACAAUUUAUUGUAGAAUUAAAGGUGUCAGGGUAUCGGAUUUGAAUUGAUUCUUACUUACUAUGGCAUGGAUACUAGGUUUGGCUUUAAAUGUUCUAUCAAAAGACAACAACCUUCUCAUGGCCUUAAUUAUAAUUUCUUACAAAAUUAAGUGAGCUUGCAGUAAUGCCUUCAUAUCAUAUGUUUAAUACAUCAAUAUAAUUUUUGUUAAUGUGGUGUUAGUGGUUUAUUUUAGUUAGCGAUUAUCUUGACCAAAAAGUUGUAUUUGAUAUAAUCUGAAUUAGUAUUUUCUGUCUUUAUCAAAAGUUUCUAAAUGUUCUUUGUAAAAUCCAUUACGACCAAUUCUGCUUCAGAUUUCGGAUGCCAAAAUUACAAUUACUGAGCCAAAGCCUGGAGCAACAGAAACUUUGAUUAUAAUAUCUGGGACACCUGAACAGACGCAUGCAGCUCAGAGUCUUAUUCAAGCUUUUGUGAUGAAUGAAAGGGAGUCCACUUAAUCUAUCUUUACAUUUAGGUAAUAUUUGUGAACACCUCCCAUUCCCCCACCCUGGGCAGGCAAUUAAGAUAGAGCAUAUUCACCUGCUCCCUCUUAUUGUAUAGAUAAGAUAUUUUAUGAUUGUUAGUUCUUGUUAUUUUAUGUUCUAUCUAUUUUACAGUUCAUGAUUGGAAGAAAAUAAUUGAGUAAUUGUUGAUACUUCUCUGCUGAAGAUUGGAGAUUGCUAUAAAUCUAAUUUGGCAGUUUUUGUAAGUACAGUGAAACCUGUCUUAACUUGGUGGUGAAAAGAUGACAUUGAGGGACGGCAUAAGUGUUCAUUCUCUUAGGAAGAAAGACAAGUGAUCAAAAUGUACCUUUGACGACCAUGAGUUAUCAAACAAUACUUAAAUUUUGAUAUUGUUUGGGGAAUGAAUUAUUAGUAGACUGCAAUGAAAUUUAAUGAUUUAAUGAUGGCUCAUCCUGUUUAUGUGCAUAUUUGUGCUUACCAGAACAUUUUCACUAUGUUAGAUCAACUCAAUAUAACUUUUUCUUACAUGUCCAAUGAAGUUACCUCGUUAAUCUUCAUAUUUUUGUAGCUGUCUCAUCCUUGCAUUUAGAAUUCUCAAAACAUGUAACUUGAGUCCAUAUUUUUCUGAGGACAAUGCCCUUUUUCUUUUAUUGGCUGGUAGUCUAUCACAUGCCUGCAUGCAUGCGUUAUCCUUUCCAUUGUUACACCAUCCGCAAUACUGAGUAGCAAUGUUUGUUAUGAAAAGGGGGAAAAAAUAAAAGGAAAACAAAAUAGCAAUGGUGAAUCAAAUGGAUUAUUUGAUAACGCCUAUCAGAGAUUUAUUUCAUAAAUAAAUGACCAAUUCAUGGUAGGUUAAGAUUUGCAUGCAAAUUGGGGGUUUUGCUGGUACUUGGUUGUAUUAAUGGCUACCAAUUAUUAUUCUUACUUUUAUAUCUUUUGGUCUGGUGAUAAGGUUCUUGGAAAUAUGAAGAAAGCAGGCUUUACUAGUUGUAAUAGAUUGAAAAUGGAGUAUAGGUAAUGAAAAUACAGACAUGACCUAUCUGCUACUGAAUAGUUUUAGCUUGUUGCUGAGUAAAGGUAAUGGAUUAUUGCUCAGAUUGGAAGGGCUUGUAGGCCUUGAGAGAGAUCACUAGACCUUCAAUUGAUCCAGCUGCAGCAGCGAGUGAUACUACCAAGCAGGCAAAAGUGAAUAUUUUCAGCCAUGACCAUGUGAAAGAGAAUUUUGGAAUUCUUGAACGUGCAAUGUACAUCUCAACUGGAAAAUAUACCGUCAAUGGCCAGAAAGAGGCUGCUCCGAUGAGACCCAAGAAAUCGUUGAAGAAUGGGAAGAUCAUAGCUAACACUGCUGUCACUAUAACAUAUAGGGUUCUCCACACCAAUCUGAACAAGUUGAGGUAAUACACACCAUAAAAUGGAAUAUUAAUGGCGUGUUCUCUUGUUAUGAACUUGUUCUCUGGCCACCUUUGAUGGCAGUUCCUCUCCCCAAAACUGAAGAUUGGCUGGCAGAAAACCUGGUAGGCACCGAUGAGGUGAACGGCAAUGCACACAUUGGCAAAGUCGAUCAGCCAAAAAGGUUCAUAGAAUCCGAAGCCUGUGAGGAAAUUGCCAGGAGCAUCAUUUCCAAAUGCUGCAUAACCAACGCAACCGCAUAGGACAUAGAACAGGGUGGUUGUCAGGAUGCCAACAAAGGAUGCCUUCUUCAUGGCUUUGUUCUCAGGAGGACUUGAUUUGAUGGUAUCCUGCAAUCAACUCACUUUCAUCACUUCAUGUGUGAGCAUUAUUAAUUGAAUUUGCUUGUUAUCCUCUAACCUUGACCUAACUCUCAACUUUAUCAUCUCUUACACUAACAUGUAGAAUUAUCCUAUUUUUUGGACCCCAAAUGUGACAGCAGAAGAAAAAGAAACUCAUUAGAAAGUUCAAAAAAUAAAGCAACCCCAGAUGAGACAAAUUUAUAGCGGAGAAUAUGAUGAUUAGUUCCACAGGGAGUGAUGCAAGAUUGAGAAAGGUAGAAAAGCUACAAAGUGGGCUCUUACCUCUUUCUCAAAAGGCAAUAUCAUUCACUGGGCCAAAUUUUGGAUUGUGGUCCAUGCUCCAUUUUUAAUUUGGUCCAUAAAGAAUCUAUAGAAGACUAGAACCCAUUAACUACACUGCAAGUAAACCAAUCCUAGGGAGAAAGUCUCCUUCAGAUCAUUCGUCCCAAUCUUUCCUUAAUUUGAAAAAUUUGGAGUGUAUUGCUGCAAUGGUCCUUAUCAGAACAGAGUAGCCACGCUAGUAACAAGAAAUGACAUUGGUUUAGAAAUCCAUAGGGCUGAAGAUCAAUCAGGAUUUGAUCUGGUCUGGCUUGCUAGUGGUAGGGUAGGGACCCAUCAUAAAGGCCCUUCUGGCCUUCUCUAUGUCCAUAAGCUCUGUAAGGGCUAAUAUGCAAGGGAACCUAAGUUAAGUGUACUCAAUUCAAAUACUUCUACUCUGAUAUCUGUAGUUGUGGGGUUCGUAAUUUUAUAAAUAUGAGUUGCUAGCCUCACCAAGAUAAUGCAAUUCAUCCCAUCAUAUGUUCGAAUGAUAAAGUCUAUACACAAUUAUAAUGGACAAAUAUUAAAAGAACUGCGAUAUCUGGGUCUAAGAUUUUUCUCGUUUUGACCAAAUCUAAUAAACCAAGCUAGUAUCAUGAAUUAAAUUUAAAAAUUUAUAUUGUAUUAUAAAAAACAUAAAUGAUAUUUCCUGCAAAAAAUCAUUAGUUUGGUCUAUAUCCAAAAAUAUAAACAUGGUUAUAGUCUAAUUAAACAGGAAUUUUCCUCUUUCACGGGACUGUUUCUUAAUUAAAACACCUAAAAUACUUGAAUUUUAUGUUCCUUUAUAAGAAAGCAGCACGCACUAAAGCCCAAGCCAACAUCCGGCAGACAAAAUAUUUAAAAUCUAGAGCAUAGCAGCAAGAGUUGGCACGCAUUUCAAUUUUCAAGUAUAUAUCAUGCUUGGUCAAGUCUACACGCGCCUGGCUUGUCCAUUGGCUGAAGGUAUAGCUCUCGAUUUGGCAGAGCCAGUUACCCCAAUCCCCCAUAUGCAGGCAGCAUGGCAUGUUAAACAGAGAGAUGUAAAUUAUGUACAGGGUAUUGAUUGGCUUGCCUGUAUCUCGAUGAGAACAGUAGAGAAAGCAAAAGCAAAAGCAAUGUCCCCGAUUGCUUGGAAUGCCUUCCACACCUUCUGUGCUGCUGUGACGUCCACCCCAACUGUAGUUCCUGUUAAGCUUGUCCUUGAAUGUCCCCCACCUAUUCCACAUUCGUGAAUCACAUAUUUUACAUUAGUUCAAAUUAGGGAAAUUUGAGCAAUAAUCAUUCAAAUUGAAUUUGAUAAUAGGAAAUUCUUAUUUAAACCUGAUUCAUUAUAAAUCUAAGAUAUAAAUAUGUAAAAUUCAUAUUAUUAAAUUCAUGAUAAAAGAGGUUUGGACAAGAAAAAUCAUUGAUAAUAUUAGAGUUAUUUUCAUAAUUAUACAUGCAUUAAUCAAUAAUAAUGUUGUUUAGGUAUUCAAAAAGCUCAUACACAUAUUCAAAUCGAUGUGAGAUCUCAAAAAACCAUUCCAUUAGUCGGUCAGUGAUGUUUAAUGGGUCUGUUUGACAGUUAUGUAGUAACAACUGCUGCUUACAAACUGAUGAUGCAUGCAUAAUGAAUACACUAGACAACAACUAUCUUUAAUGGGUUUGUUUCAUGAGUACGUAAUGAUUAAGUUCAAAACACACAGUUCUCUUUUUAAUAAUUUAAUUUAAUUACCUGCUACUUUUGCUAUGGAUAGUCCGAGACCUAUUGAAGAAUAGGCGAAAGACAUCACAGCUGCAAGAACUGAGAGCCAUGAGAGCUUGUGAAAGUUUGGUAUUUGGCUCAGGAUGAUUUGGAUGCAAGCAAAGAUAGUCAUGUAGGUGUAGUUUGAUAUAUGGCACUUGUCUUGAUGUCCAUGCUUGUGGAAACAGUUUGACCUCUUUACAGCCACCAUGCUAAUGGAUGCUGUAAUAGUGUAGCCAAUUGUGACUCCUACCAGGUUCGCAUACUGAGCCAACCCACAAAGGAAAACUCUCCGGCCUCCUGGUAUGCAAAGUUAAACAAUUUGGCUAAUGAAUUAUCAGCUAUUUUAUAAGGGAUUCAUCUGAAUUGUAUAGCACUCACCUAAGUUGGCUCUCACAGCAUCCAUGUAGGUGUAGUUUCUUUUGCCAGUGACUGGAUCAGGCGACCUGUAGGAAUCGGCAAGAAGAGUGGAAGUGAAAAGGGUUAUGAAAGAGAACGCCAUGAGAAUAACCGGCCCAGCCACCCAUCCCAACUGGGCUAUGGCCCAUGCUAGAGACAGCACUCCUGACCCAAUCACAGCGGUGAUGAUAUGAGCACUCGCAGUUAACCAUGUCCCAGUUCUUUUAGCUCGACCGUCAUCAUCCUGGUUCUUGUGAGUUCCACCGUUUUCAUAUCCUUCUAGGUCUGCCUGUUCCAAGUACAUGCUGCUAUGUUUCAUCUCUUUAGCCAUCUCUGUCUGUCUCUCUCUCUCUUUCUCUCUGGGUUAUGUACGUGUGUGUUUAUCGCAAGUUGGGACGGUUGAACUACGAGGGACAAGACGCUGAAAUAGAGAGGUGUAAUUAAUGGCUAGUUAAAUCAAAAUAAUUAAUGGAAGUGGCGACUACCAAAGUAGUCAACCAGCAGUGUUUCUGCCGUGAAUGUAUCAAGCAAAAAAAGGGCUGUUAGUUAAGUAUAUUAAAUGAACUUUCUGAGCUACAAGCUGAAGUGUUUAUAGAGGAACCUAUAGAAGGGAUGGUUGGCUUUGUAGGAAUAAUGACACAAGGGUUCUCUGCACCAUUGAUGGUGGUGGUGGAAGGGGGUGAGGAGAUGAUGAGAGGGUGUGGUCUUUACUUAAACCCUGCAAGGGUCCCCACUACGUCUUUGUGUAUUUGGGUUAUCGACCAUCCAAAUUAAUAACAAUUAAUCUUUUAUAUCGUAACCAUUCAUUGUGAAAUUUUUGACAAGAAAUCUCUUCUAGUUUGCCCCAACAACACCGGUCUUUCUCCCUAAUUUUGCUUAGUCGGUUCCUUUUUUUCAUAUGAGACUAAUAUAAACCAGAAAGAUCGACCAAGUGUCGCUUGGAGACUCGUAAAACUACUUUCAAAACCUUGGCAUGGGCAAUAAUUUCACUGACCUCAUCAACUCUUUUUUUUUUUUUUUUUUUU